GCACGUGAGUGCUUCUCUUACCUGCUGCUUGGUUACGAUCACAGCUGAACAUACAGCUGCCUGUGCGGCUUAGAAGAAAACUCAACCAGCCAUGGCCACCUUCCCAUUUAUUUGAUAGGUGACUUCCUGUUCUUUCCAGUUAUUGUUAGAUAAAAGAGUAUUUAAGUGCUCCUUCCACUCGGCCUGAAGGAAAGGUGUUUAGAAUAUCCAUAGGUAUAACCACGUCUGUAGGUCUGCACAAUGACAGCUGCAGUGUUACGAUACCGUGCCACAGUUUAUCCUAUCUAUUGAGAGGGAAGCGAUCUUCUAAUUAACAAUUAUUCAGGUUAGUUUGUGGUUUAAUGAACAUUUUUGGAGCAGUCAAAAUAUUCGAAAAACACAAAAGCAAAGCACAUGAAAUGUGAAAUUCCAAGUGAAUUUCAAGUCUGUCCUUAAUUUCCAGUGCAUAUUUUCACCUGAGCUUUCAACCGAAGUGCUGUCAUGCAAGUUGUUCUCAUCAGGGGAACAGGCUGACCUGCACUUGAGAGAAUUCCUGCUCCUCUUCCACAAACAAGACUUUUCACAGAACACAGGGAGAACGACACAGCAACUACAGACAGGUGAAACUUUUCAAGGCAACUGGCAAAAGCAACUGAAGCACAAACCUUGUUUGCAAUGGAGAACUUCUAUUAUGGGACACAGAGUCUUGAAAGAAGACCCAGGUCUCCUGAAAUGUGUUUUAGGCAAUUUUUUAUUUAGAAGAUGGAGAAAACGGGUGGAAACACUAUUUAAAAUCUUGAUUAAUAAAAGAGAAUGGCUGAAAAUAUAAAGGUGUCAUGAUCAGUGGGAAAGGAGGGAAAGCUGUUACUGAAAGAAAGGCCUCAACAGAACAACAAACCACCUCACACAGAAGGCACACAGGGAGAGCAUUAACAACCAACAUGAACAAGAGUGUAAUGCAGCACUAAUGGAAUAUAUAUUAUAUAGAAUAUAUAAGCAGUCUUUCCAAAUUGUGCAAAAAGUGGAAACAAGCACACUGUUAAGAAUUAGCACUGCAGAAAACCAUGGGCAGGCAGGAACAAAACGAGAGACAAAGGUCCAAAAUGAGUGCCAGAGGAGGAUAUAGGGACACGUUAUACCUAAAUGCACUGGAAAUAAAAGCAAAACAGGUGAAAAUACUGUUCACUGCUGACAGAAAAGGAAGGCACACACACACAAAAAAACCAGCACGUUAGAUUCUUCAGCCUUCAAAACUGCCCUGUAACCUGUUACUGAACCCAACGCUUUUGGGAGGUGACAACAACAAGUAGCAGCAGGAAAGAACACAUUACAUUGAAUUGGUUACGUGGUUACUCAGGUUGGCAGUGCCUGGAAAACACACUCAAAUAGUUCAGGAGGCCAGCCAGAGAACUUCUGAAAUAACUGGUGUGUAUCUACAAAAAAAUAUCGUGGAAUUUGCAGGUUCCCCAUUGAUUGACUGCAGGAAGGAGAAGAAAGGUGAACUUGUGAAUGGAAAACCGUUCCGAGUAAAUCCAAGGUUCCAGGAAGAUAUACUGACACGUACUUUGAGAAUGAGAGACUGACAUAACAGGUGCCACGAGCCCUGCUGGAACGCGUAGUUAGGACAAAACGAAGCAUCGGUUUUGCCCGGGACCUCAGCACAGGGUCUACCUCACCCCGAGGCCCCGCUCCAAACAGCACCUCGGGCCGCUGGGGUGAGACGCAGCCGAGCGAACGGCGCCUACCAGCUGUAGCCGGGGCCGACAGCCCCCGCCCGCCGCUGCCCGUCCCGGAGGCACUCGGGCUGCGCGGCUGCACAGCUCCGUGCCGCCUCCUCCUGCCCCCUGCCCGGCACCUUCCUGCCCGCGCCGACACCAACACCGCACGCAGCUCCGCGCCCCGACCUCGGCUCCCUGCGGACAAAGGCAGCG
rnacentral:lncRNA from 1 species